CCUACGGGUGGCAGCAGUGAGGAAUAUUGGUCAAUGGUCGCGAGCCUGAACCAGCCAAGUCGCGUGAGGGAAGACGGUCCUAUGGAUUGUAAACCUCUUUUGUCGGGGAGCAAAAGACGCCACGCGUGGCGUUCCGAGAGUACCCGAAGAAAAAGCAUCGGCUAACUCCGUGCCAGUAGCCGCGGUAAUACGGAGGAUGCGAGCGUUAUCCGGAUUUAUUGGGUUUAAGGGGUGCGCAGGCGGACGAUCAAGUCAGCGGUAAAAUUGAGAGGCUCAACCUCUUCGAGCCGUUGAAACUGGUUGUCUUGAGUGAGCGAGAAGUAUGCGGAAUGCGUGGUGUAGCGGUGAAAUGCAUAGAUAGCACGCAGAACUCCGAUUGCGAAGGCAGCAUACCGGCGCUCAACUGACGCUCAUGCACGAAAGUGUGGGUAUCGAACAGGAUUAGAUACCCCUGUAGUC
rnacentral:rRNA from 1 species